rnacentral:rRNA from 1 species
AUUGAAGGCUGGCGGCAGGCCUAACACAUGCAAGUCGAGCGGAUGAAGGGAGCUUGCUCCUGGAUUCAGCGGCGGACGGGUGAGUAAUGCCUAGGAAUCUUCCUGUUAGUGGGGGAUAACGUCCGGAAACGGGCGCUAAUACCGCAUACGUCCUGAGUGCGACAGUGGGGGAUCUUCGGACCUCACGCUAUCAGAUGAGCCUAGGUCGGAUUAGCUAGUUGGUGGGGUAAAGGCCUACCAAGGCGACGAUCCGUAACUGGUCUGAGAGGAUGAUCAGUCACACUGGAACUGAGACACGGUCCAGACUCCUACGGGAGGCAGCAGUGGGGAAUAUUGGACAAUGGGCGAAAGCCUGAUCCAGCCAUGCCGCGUGGGUGAAGAAGGUCUUCGGAUUGUAAAGCACUUUAAGUUGGGAGGAAGGGCAGUAAGUUAAUACCUUGCUGUUUUGACGGUACCAACAGAAUAAGCACCGGCUAACUUCGUG